rnacentral:rRNA from 1 species
GUCACGAAAGCGUGGGUAGCAAACAGGAUUAGAUACCCUGGUAGUCCACGCUGUAAACGAUGAGUGCUAGGUGUUGGGUAGCGAUACUCAGUGCCGAAGUAAACACAAUAAGCACUCCGCCUGGGGAGUGCGGUCGCAAGACUGAAACUCAAAGGAAUUGAUGGGGACCCGCACAAGCAGCGGAGCAUGUGGUUUAAUUCGAAGCAACGCGAAGAACCUUACCAAGGCUUGACAUCCCCUUGACCGGCACAGAGAUGUGCCCUCUCCUUCGGGAGCAAGGGUGACAGGUGGUGCAUGGUUGUCGUCAGCUCGUGUCGUGAGAUGUUGGGUUAAGUCCCGCAACGAGCGCAACCCUUAUCGUUAGUUGCCAGCAGGUGAAGCUGGGCACUCUAAUGAGACUGCCGGUGAUAAACCGGAGGAAGGUGGGGAUGACGUCAAAUCAUCAUGCCCCUUAUGUCUUGGGCUACACACGUGCUACAAUGGUCGGUACAAAGGGGAGCGAAGGAGCGAUCCGGAGCAAAUCCCAAUAAACCGAUCCCAGUUCGGAUUGUAGGCUGCAACUCGCCUACAUGAAGUCGGAGUUGCUAGUAAUCGCGAAUCAGAACGUCGCGGUGAAUGCGUUCCCGGGUCUUGUACACACCGCCCGUCACACCAUGGAAGUUGGUAAUACCCGAAGUCGCUGAGCUAACCGCAAGGAGGCAGGCGCCGAAGGUAGGAUCAAUGACUGGGGUGAAGUCGUAACAAGGUAGCCGUAUCGGAAGGUGCGGCUGGAUCACCUCCUU